GCCGGGGUGGCGAAAUUGGAAGACGCGCUACCUUGAGGUGGUAGUGCCCGAAAGGGUUUGCAGGUUCGAGUCCUGUCCCCGGCACCG
rnacentral:tRNA from 1 species